rnacentral:misc_RNA from 1 species
CCUUCAUCUUCACUCGACACACAGACGCGCCGCUGUCGCCACCGCCCCGGAAAAGGCAGCAAGCACACGUGAAACCCUAAAAUGCCGUCCGCGCCUCUCCCUGGCCAACUGGCGAACUACAGCAGCCCGCUGUACAUGUACCGCCACCUCAUAAAGAACUCGACGGCCAAGACGCCGCAGCUGUACACGGCCAAGGACAACAGUAAAACAGCGAUGCACCUCCUCACGCGGCGCGCCGCCAACGCGAACUACACUGUGAACCGGUGGUAUCUGAAGGAGAAGGUCGACUCUAGCAACCGCAUGCGUCUCGAGGGACUCUACGAGUGCGUGCUCUGCGCCUCUUGCACCGGCUCCUGCCCGCAGUACUGGUGGAACCGUGAGCACUUCUUGGGUCCUGCUGUGCUGCUGCAGUCAUACCGCUGGCUCGUCGAGCCCCUCGACCGUGACUUUGACGAGCGCGUGCGCAUGUUCGAGACGGGCAACCUGGUGAACAUGUGCCACAACAUCUUCAACUGCAGCAUCACCUGCCCCAAGUUCCUCAACCCUGGUCUGGCGUCGAAGGAGAUCAAGCGCUUAUCGUCUCCGUCGGCGAAGCGCGUUGGGCCGGCGAUCGAGAUGGAGCCCGUUACGAGCGAGAAGGAAGCGGGAAAACGAAGUCUCGCGCAAAUGCAGUGAUGUCAGCGCGGAUGCGGUAUGGCGUGCUGUGUCGCCUUCGGGGAGGGAGGGAGGGGGGAGGCACCAUCGUGUUUCAGUUCUGUUCGCCGUGAGAACGCGCACGCGUCUGCUUGUGCCCCGUUGCGCUGCGAGGGGGGAGGGGGGCACCAGCAGAGGCGGUCGAUCCGCUCAAGCGCGUCUUUUAAUGCGAUCACUCUAUUAGUAGUAGUAGCCAGUGUAUUGUCCUUUUCGCCUUUUACACAUCAUCUCGAGAUCUUCGCGUGCUGCGACUCUCACCUUUCUCUUUCCUCGGCAUGUGGGGAAGUCGCCGUUAUGUGGCCCGACUCGGCUGGAUACCCCAGAGGGGGUGCGGUGCGGCGGGCAGGUGUGUGUGUGUGUGUGUGCGUGUGUGUGUUUGUGCUCACCAAAUCUGCAGAGAUGGAGACGGCCUCAGCGGAGCGGAGACGUGGCUGCAGAAGUAGAUGGCUGCGCCUCCUCUAUCGCGCCAAUGCCUGGACCAUCAAUAUCAUCUCUGACGUCUUUGCGUGCUCUCCGCCGCCUCGCCCCUCUUGUGUGCGUUGCGAGAGAGAGAAGGGGGUGGAAGCAGAGGGGUGCGCACGGCACGUCUACAGCCCGACAAGACCGCUCUAGUAAACCCUCCAUGCACACGUGCGCCUACACGAGUGAGGGAGACAGUCUACGCAUGUCGAUGUGGUGGAGUGUCCUUGCUGUCCAUGUUGUCGUUGUCAGCUCACUGUCUUUCACCCUCGACCACGACUGAAUGACCCACCUCGUAACGCGAAUGCGUGCAUGCGCGCCGACACGCUCACGGGGGGGGGGGGGGCUCGGUGCCUUCCAAGAUCCAUCUGCGUCACCGAUGCAGAAGAAUCGUGGGUGCCGCGCCGCCACAGGUGUGCGUCUCCCUGACUGAAGGAAACGGUGCUGUGGCCGCGGUUGCGCCACAACGGGAUCCACACCCUCUUCUUGCACACGUGUAUGUUUCUCGAUGAUUUUAUGAAGUGAAGGCACGCACGGAAGAGUAGGAUGCACGUGCGUGCAGCCGUGUGCGCGACUACCUCGGCUUCCUCCCGCACUCUCAUCUCACGCGACCCGCCUCACCUCCCUCGGCCUCUGCCCUCAUCUCAACACGCCCUUGAUCCGGCCUCCCACGACCGCCACUAUCACCUGAUGUGUGUAUGUGUGUGUGUGUGUCCCUCUCUGUGCGGGUGGAAUACGCACCCACGAAG